UAUUAAGAUAAAAUUUCAGGCUACAGAAUAGCCUAAAAAAUAAAGGGCUCAGGAAAAGCCAAAGGGCACACUGAAGGGCUAUGAGAAGCCCCAACUGUGCUGCAGGAAACAGCAAUGGAAAUAUCUUUCCCUCCUUUAGUGGUAAAGAUUUCCAUGUGUGCUGAUGCUAUGGGAGCAGCGCUACUACAGACCAUCAGUGAGGGGAAGAGGAACCAGUAACAUCAUGGAUGCAUCCCCUUUGGGGCCAGAGCAAAAAAUAUCCUGCUGCGAAAGGUAGUUUAGGGCUGUUCUGAGCUUUAGCUGCCUUUGAAGUUUUCCUCUUUGAUAGUGCAGUUGCAGUCUGAUCUUCUCACACCCCUCUAAUGUAGGUAAUUCCAAGGAAAUAAUAGGUAGCAGAGUCCCAUCUACCUUAAGUGGCACAGUGGUCACUGAGAUUAACGAGCAGGAGGUUACUGCACAGGUGUCACAAGAAGUGGCUCUUCUUGCACAUGCCUAAAUGGCACAUUUUUGUGCCAAAAAUGUGGACACAAAGUUCCUGCAAGAACUUACAGCAACUACUUAGUCUAACUUCCCUGUCACAGCAAGCCCAAAUGUCAUCAUUGGCUGCAAAUGGGGGUGGGGGACCAUGUUUGUGGUGUGCAUGUUCUUGUUUACCUUGGUGUGUGUGUUAGAUUGGCUUUUAUAAUUGUAACUAACUUCAGGUUUCUUAUACUUUUCUGCAGAGUUUUGGUUUUUUGCUUUGCUUUAUGCUUCUGUAGGGCAAUGGAUUUUACUAUGCCUCUACGUGUAAGUGCUAGCUGACAAGGUUAUAACAUCACAACGGAGACUCUGAGCCAAGACUGAUAAUUCGAGAUAUGCAGCCUGCCAGAAGGACAUCACUUGGGAGGGGCUGCUGUCCUUAAGCUGUAGGUGCUGGCAUUCAGGACAUCAGGGAAUGACUGUACGCUGCCAUGAAGAACUACAGGCUACCACCCUCAGACCUUUGCAAGUUAUCAUGGGGCAAGAACAUGAACACCUCAGGAAAGGUUUUCUGCCUGGUGCCAAUUAGGAGCCAUGAGCCACAGGAGGGUUGGCGGCAUCCUUACCGGAUGCGUGAGUAAUAACCCGUGAUUCGUUGACCAGCAAAGGAGAGGAGGAGCAGUGACCACUAGCCCAGUCAGUACUGCCUUGCCAUUGCUAGCAGGGCUCCAAGGUCUGUGUGAGGCCUCACUUGCCUGUUUGGAGCUUUAUUUUGAUCUGUUUGCCUGCAAUAACCUGUAAUGCCUACGAUAAGGAUGUUCAUGGCUAGAUGGCUAACCUGUCACGUAACAUGUCUUUGCCUUGCUUCGCUUGAUCUAACUGCUUAAUGUAAUAACACCAGAAUAAAAACUGUUACAGUGUAUAAAGGAACCCUAGGAUGAGCAUCCAUCCAAGUUGGGGAACCACAGUUAAAGCUUUGGAAAAAUGCUCUAAAAUGAGAAUCACUCAAUGGUCUUGGUAGGUUGAUUCAUUUGUAGGAUAGUCCUCCGAGGGCCAGCAACUUGAGGAGCUGCAACUUGAAGAGAAGCAGCUGAACUGAUUUUAUUGUUUCUGUGAUGCUGUUUUGAGGAAGCGUGUAGAUACAGGAUAGGCCUGGGAGGGAUGACAAACAAGAAAGGAAACAGCAAGGAGGGUUUGAGAGUGUGGUUAAAAACUGAAGUGCCAUGAGAACUGAAGUUGUUAAGUGCUGAGAGAACUUGAGGUUAAGCAUGUGCAUAUGAAGGUCUGAGAGGGGCUAAUGCUCAAGGGAUAGUAAAAUAUCAUGAUUGAACCCAAGAUUCCUCCCCAGUCUGGGCUGACGCGUGUACCCUUGCUCUUGCAGACACAGACAGUCUGGAACUGUAGGGGUACAGGCAAGCAGGCUGACAAGCGGGCUUUAGGCACGCUGAUGUGGGGAGAGUCCUGUGUGCUUGGCAGAUGAGUGUGGCAAGAGCUGUUCUGGUUCUGGUCUGGGGCAAACACGUACAGAGGGGAAAAGGAGGAGGGUCUGAAAGAAUACAGGGAGCAAGCUCUUUGUCCCCCACAAGGUCCCUGAGGCCGCCUCCUCCCUGGAGGGUCCUCCACAGGGACACCCACACGCAGUACCCAAGGCACUGAUGCCCCACUGGAAUAGGAGCCCUAGUCUGACCUUUGCCUGUAACCGCCUCCCUGCCCCUUGCACUGAGGGUCCUGUGCACACUCCUGAAACCAGCCUCCAACAGCCCCCAUAACCCUUCAGCAACACUACCAAGAAUCCUAAAGCCCCCAGACCUCAAAACCACCCCCAAACCCUGCCCAACAGCACCAGCAACCCUCUCCAUCCCUGUCCCCAGGCCCCCUGUGACCCCACAAAUCUAUCUGCUUCUGUGGGUCAGCCCUAGCUUCCCAGUGCCUGCAAUAUUCUUUGGAAUUCUUUUGCUGUUUUGCCUCCAAGUGGAAAGGUGGAAACAGCUGGACUUUACAAAAUUAUUCUUGUGGUUUUUGAAUGAAUACUGAUUUAGCAUCCUUGCCAAGGGGGAAGAGAGGGGAAUCCCCUGGUAGUGUUUCAGCCUAUUGGAUGUGUUGCUGUGCAUCAUUCAGGUUUGUGAACUGAAUGUGAGGUAGUUACGCAUUCUGUCCGUCUCAGAGGCUGCUAUUUCCAGUUGUCAUUUGUGCUCUUUGAAAAAAACUUUUCACCUUUUUAUGCGGACAUUUGUCUUAACUGUCUUACUGUGAUAACUGUGAGUAUAAAACAAAAAAUGUGAUGUCACUGUGCAUAA